GGCGGAAGAUACUGUAGAGUCCGGGGAGGAGAAAGGAGGGACUUGGAGCUGGAGGCUCCCAGGCUCAGCCAUAAUGUCAGUCCAAUGUGGAGCCAACGGAGGGAAGAGCACUGAAGGAGGAAUGGCCACUGUCUCCAGGGGGCCUACCAACGGUGGUGGAGGAGCCAGAGGCAUAGAGCCAACGAGCAGCCUACUAGGAGCCGAAGUGGAGCCACUGGGUCUAUGGGCCAAGGCAGAGGUUGGAGGCGGAGUUAAGGGAUUCUCCUGCCAUGGCAAUGCUUUUCAUCACAAGUGUUAAAAUUAUUAUUAUAUUUUUUGCCACCUAUGAUAAAGAGGUCAAGAAUAAAAUUAAUAAAUAAAUAAUUGGUGGGUAUCUUACCCAUUCUCACCUUAUAGAUCGA